UUACAUCAUUCCCCUCACUAUGAACCCCCAAAUCAUGACCGGUCUUCAGAGCUGCUGCAUAUGAUCGCCUCGCCACCGUGGAUGUACUUGGGUCUUUAUGAUUCACCUCCAAACCACACCUUCAUACCCUUCAGGAAUGACUACAACACUCCACCGGCCUCCUCCACCAUAUUUGGUGGCAGUUAGAUACCUACCAUGCACGAUGGAGCAUCAUUGAGCUACGAAUGCUCUGUUUCCUUCGUGCAAAUGUUUAGUGAAAUUCAAAUUUCUCC